rnacentral:tRNA from 1 species
GGGCCCGUAGCAUAGUCUGGUGGUGCGCACGACUGAUAAUCGUGAGGUCCGGAGUUCAAAAGCCAUUGAUGGUUUGAAAGUCUCCGCGGGCCCA